GCACGCAGUCACGGAGGGCUUGUCUUGCACGAUAGCACUCUGGCAAUGAUUUAUGCAUUGCGCUUUUGUUUCUUCUCCAUUCAUGCCUGCACAACACAUUCAGAUCUACCGAUGCAGCUGUGUCUCCCCUUCCACUGACUACGUCAACAUGAGAAUGCUGUUCAAGCCUCCUGGCUCGGGCCCAGAAUGGCAAGGUCAAUGGCUGUGUAAAAAAACAUCAGCAUCUGGAGGUCUGGAGCAGUCAACGCGUGAAGCUGGGCAUGAAUUGGCACUCCCUGGCUCCCACAGACCUGUGUUCCUGGCAUCUGUAGGCUGCUCUUGCUGUCAUGGCGAGUGACAGAUACCAGACUCCUGAGGUUCUGAAUUUGAUUCCAAUUAAAUCUUCCAUGAAUUCCAUUGUUCAGAAAAAAAUAUUGUUCUGUCCCAAUAGUUUCCUGAUUAGUAUACUGAUGGCUGACAAUGCUGUUGAUAUAGGUAAAACAUAUGUACUCUGAAUGCAGAGUAUUGCGAAUCAUAAUUAAAUAUUACUGUGCAUGUAAACACAAUGCAAGGUUUCUAUUAUUUGAAGCCCAGUGCUCCACUGGUAGUACCAACAAAUGCAGAAUUGUUU